GAGCACACACGGCCAGACCGUGACCAAUACGUCACCAUACAGUGGGACAACGUGGUGCCAGGAAAACAAGAGAACUUUAAGGUGAAGAAAGGAGACACUCAGGACCUGCCCUAUGACUACGACUCCAUAAUGCACUACGGAACAAACUACUUCUCAUCAAACCGGAACCCCACUAUUUACUCCAAGAAGAGGGAGUCCAGAUUGGACAGAG